rnacentral:misc_RNA from 1 species
GAGCUUAAAAGAUUAAAAUUAACCCAUAAUGUUUGUUUAGAAGGAGAAAUAGUAAGAACCGAGUUACUCACAAACAUCCUAUCUAGUGAUCUUUGUCGUAGUAUUAUAAGAAUGUGUCCAACAGCUUUCACAGGAUUAUGUGAAAUUCUAGUUAAAGAUGGGGGACUUCGACCAACAUUACGAACAACUAUUGAAGAACAAGUUGUUAAAUCACCAUACCUUUUAGCACAUAGCGUUACAAAUCAUAAGCUUGCUGCUUUUUUUUGUCGAUCUGGUGAGACUGCCAGUCGCCAUUUUCAUAAUGUCUUAAGAGCUAUACUAGAGUUGGAGGACAAAUUUAUCAAGCAACCAGAUGGAUCAUAAGUUCCAUUAGAAAUACUGAACAACAAUAGGUUCUAUCCAUUUUUUAAGGUGAAAGCAAUUUCUUAAUUAAAUUUUAAAGAAUGAAUCUCCA